GCGACCCGGAACCUACCCCUUCUCCCCGCCGCCCUCUCCCUCCCUCUCCUCUGCUCCCCGCCGUGGCCCUCUCUCUCCCUCUCUCCUCUCUGCCUCGCCGACGCUGCCUCCCCUCCCCUUCUCCCUCUCCGCCUGCCUCCGCUGCCCCUCCCCGCUGCCACUCCUCCUGCUCCGCCGCUGUCGCCCGCUCCCGCGGAAUCCACGCCGCCCCUCUCCCCAACCCCGCGCAUCUCCUCUCUCUCUGUGCCCCGGCGGCGCCUCCUCUCUCUCUCUCUCUCUCUCUCUCUCUCCCGGCGGCGCCCCUCCCAGCCCCUCACCCCUCCGUGCGGCACGGGCCGGCGUGGAUCCGGGCCUUCUUCACCGCGGCACCCCUCCCCGCCCCUCACCCCCUCCGCGCGGCACGGGCUGGCGUGGAUCCGGCGCCUUCUUCCCGGUGGCGCCCCUUAGCCCUCCACGCGGCACGGGCCGGCGGAGAUCCGGCGGGCCUGCUCGCGGCGCAGCCGGCAGCGAGACAGAGGCGCGGCCGACAGCGGCUGCGCCGCGCACGCGAAGAGGAGGAGGAGCAGGAGAGGGAGGGAGAGGCCGCCGUGUGCCCAGGCCGGCCCGUGCCCCCCUCCCUCCCUUUUUGGCGCCGAAGAUGAGCACGGUGCGGUCGUUGGGCGGCGCCAUCUUCCGGAGCUCGGCCUCCAGCUCCCGUUGCUUGUCCCCGAGCUCGACGGGGCGCGCCCCCGCGGCCGCGAGCAGCGCCGAUCGCGCGGCGGGCCUGGGGCGGCCGCGCACGCACUCCUCCGUCUCGAGCUGGAUGUCGAACUCCACGGCCUUCUUGAGGCCCCUGCACCUGGGCUUCCCGCACUUGCACGUGGUGGCCCAGUAGCUCCCACGCGACGACGGCUGCCGCCUUCUGCGGGGCGUACUCCUCCAAAACCCUAGGUUGUUCAUGGCUUCCUCUUCACCGCCGUCCAUGGCUCCGCUCCCUUGCUUCUUUGUGUCCCCGCGGAUAAUGUUCCACGAGAUCAAUGCAGGUGGGCUCAGCACGGCAUCCACGGGUGGGCGCCAUCCACAACCAGCGCUCUGCGCGCUCAAGGGUAGGCGGGAGCCCAGGCAGUGGAGAGAUCUCAGCGACCUAGGGCGGCAGUAAAUCUCUAUGCCUUCACCGUCAGAACACGCAGCGUAAUCUCCCCAUGUAAGCAGAUCCCCUUUCCGCUCGACCCCUCUCCAAUCAGAGGGGACAGUCUCCGCCCUCAUCUUUUGUACUGAUUAGUGCUUGUUAGAUUCUUAGCAGUUGGUAUGUUCAUCUUUGUUGGUCUAUAGCGAUAGCUGAUACUUCUUGGCUUUACUGCUUUAGUUCUAGCUGCAGCUCGUCCAGCUUGCUUCUUCUAUCUAAAAAUGGUGUUACAUAAUUGACAGGGAUUUUGGUUUUAACAAAAGAAAUAUUUUAAAAAGGUCUGUUUCGAUUGCUCAAUUGUUGCUACAUCAACUAAGACUUUUGAAGUACGGAUGAGAUGCAUACCGAGUGAAAUUUUCUCCUUCCCAAUAGCAACUCUUCUGUAUAUUUGGCCAAGCAAAAGGAAACAUGACGAUGGCAGUAAUUCAGACAAUACCAAAUUUGUGUUUUUGUUGCCUUGCAUAUGCACAACAGGUUUGGUUGAAGCCUUGAAGGUAAUGCGGUGUGGAAUUUUCUUACAGUCCAUAUUUUGAUUCGUAAUUUUGGUAAUGCUCUGCAAUGGUGUGGUGGUUGUGUAAUGCUUGAAUAAGUUCAGUGUUAGCUACCUUUGCAAGGAUCAUCCUAUUGGUCCAGGUUGAUAAAUUUGUACAUGUGACCUUUACUUCUAGACUAUUAUGCUUAAAGUCAGAGAUUGUAAAAGAAAAGCAGAACUGCUAUUUUGGCUGUCUCAAAACCAUACUAGCAAAAAUGGCUCUUUGAUCUAAACCUGAAAUUAUUUUUUUGAUAUAUGGAUGUACCACUUACAACUAGAUUCAAGCUAUUGUAAUAACCACUGAUGCUUCUAUGGAUUUAAAAUAGAGGAGAGAAUUAUAAUUGUCACGAGUUCUUUAUAGCAUUAGUAACAGAAAAAAAUAAUAUCGUGUAUUUUGACUAUUUGCUCCUUUAGAACAGUGAUUGGCUUCUGCUAAGCAUAGGCCUUGUUCGUGUUGAGGGUGAGGUGAGAUCUGAAUUUCACAAAGCUCCUUAGCUUUAUCUAAUUCUUAUUCAAUUUCCCCAUGGAUAAAAUGUUGUUGUACUUUAGUAGAUAAUCUUAUCAAUAAUCUUAGUAGAUAAGCUUAUAGAUAAUUUUUCCUCCUAUAUUCUCAGAUUGAGUGAAAUGAUGCUAUAUGUCCUUGACAAAGUAUUUAGGUCUUAGUACAAUUGAUACUUGCCUUUCUAUUUAUUUCUAUUAUGGUGUCUUAUUAUCAGUGUAACAAGUAUUCCACCAUGAUGUUGCUUUCAGUUAAAAAAGUUUUAGUUGUAAGUUACAUGAUGAUCCCAAUCGCAUUGCCUAACAAUGGACAAACAGUAACGCUUGACCAAUGCACUAUAUCUGGUAGUAGCCGUGUUGGGCCAGCGGCAACAUAGUGGUGUUGCCAUGGUUUUUCUGAUGCAUUUUUUGGGCCAGUGGAGUAAUGGACAAUGGCAAGGCUUGUCAAACAUGUGGCGGCUGGAUCCUGAUGGGUGAUGACAGAUCGAGCUGCCGCUGAUCAGGGUCUCUGAUGGAGGGGUGCUUCAGCCUGAUGGUGAAUGGGUACAUGGACAGAUAUGCAGUGAGAUUGGGAGGAUGCCUGGUGUGCUUGAAGCUGCGACCAGUUUGUGCUGUUUCUUUCGCUGAUUUAUGUAGCUUCUAAGACAAUGGAUAUAUAGUUAGGUGGUUGUGGGAAGAUAAAUCGUUGCUGGGGUUUCAGACCUGUUUUUGUUUUGAUUUGCUGCGCAGAGUGGUUUGCUAGGUGAUGUUUUGCUUGGGCGUAAGAUGACGUAAAACUUUUGUAUCAUGUUGCAAGGCACGAUGGGCAAGGGAAUUUGUCCCUUGAAGAACUCUAGUAAAAAACUACAAAUAAGUAAUUUAUCAGGGAAUGGAGGUGUAACAGUUUACUAGCUAGUUUAUCCAAAGAAAAGAGAAGAUAUGAUGGUUCUGGGUAGUGUGGUUGACUAAGGAUAGAGAUUCCUA
rnacentral:lncRNA from 1 species